CCCCACCAUUAAUAAUUUGUUUUAUUACAGGUUGGAUUUAGUUCUCCACAGGUGUGGGAUGUUGACCGGCUUAUUAGAGCUCGGAAUCCAGGAGCUGUCUUUAGCACUACUGAUAGUCCUACAACAACAUGGCAAACAUUAAGGUCCAUCACAUAUAAUCCUCUACUGGAGGAGGGAUCCGUGGGCAGUCCGAGCAUUCAGGAGGCAAGCCUAGUUCGGAGGGUGAGACCAAGUUCCGUAGCAUCUGCCGGAUCCAGGCUGCACGGUUUUCUCAACUCAGUUUCUUCGAUUCUUCUCCUUUCUUUCGGACUAUGUCUUCUGAGAGGAUAACUUUUGUUGCCUGGUGUUAAGUCUCCCUCUCCGUACAUCUAUUUGAUCAUAAUGUGUAAUCAAUAUUCUUCAAGGGACUAUCCACGUUAUUUCAAGUUAAAGAGGUGUAUGCCCGAUUCAUAACGCUACUUAUUAAAAAGAAAUUUUCUCUUUUUAAGAUAGCUGACAACUUUGUCCUACUCUGAUAUUUAGAUAAAAGGUAAAACAG